rnacentral:lncRNA from 7 species
UUCUUCUAUGGUCAGUAUUGCCAUAAUUUUCACUGCUGCAAGAAACUUUACACAAUUUAUUCCAUGGUGGUUCAGAAAACAUGUGUUACACUCUCUUCACAGAGAAAAAUGCUAACACAUCCUCCUCAACAACUGAAGAGCCAUCUGGAAGGUGAGACUUGCACUGUAAGCUUGUUCAUCUAUGGGUUGCUCUUUCUUUAUGGAGAUCUGCAUCUGCUGCACAACUGCCGAGGCAACAGCAUCAUCAGCCCACUGAAAGUCCCUGGAAACUUUCACCUCAUCUUAUCUUAGUGCAGGAAACUGCAGAGAACCCUAUUGAUUCCUGUAGGCUGCUGACGAACAUACUCCAUGGCUGGCUAUCAGGCCUCAAAAAGUUUCAGUUAUUCAUCUCUCUCCAUCAACUUGAACUCUGAAGCAUGGCCUGAGUAAUAGUCCUCAGUUUCAAGUUUGUAUGACACAUUCUGUAUGUUUUGCUAGUUUCCUAAUAAUAAUAGCAAUUAUUAUUAUUAAUAUGGUUGAGGGAACUGGGCUUGUUUAGAUUGGAAAAAGAAGUAAUAUAUUUUAUCAUGAACAUCUCCGCCGAGACCAGGUUGCUCAAAGUCCCAUCCAGCCUGGUUCUGAAUGCUUCCAGGAGGAAGCAUCCACAGCCUUGCUAGGCAACUUUUUCCAGUGUCUCACCACCUUCACAGUAAAGAAUGUCUUCCUAAUACCUAGUCUAAAUCUGCCCUCUUCAAUUCUUACAAAAGCUUCUGAAAUACCACUGAAGUUUCAUAAUAUACUAAUACCAACAGAGUUUUGAGAAACUGUUAAAUACAUCAAGUAAAACAGUCUGAGCACUUACUAGAGAGCUUUACAUUUUUGUCAGCAACACAGAUCUAUUUUCUCUUCAUUGUUCUUGACCUUACAAGACCAUUGAUGAGUCAUUAACAGAAAACAAAUUGUAAAUAUGUUAGGAAAGAACUCUGCACUACUUGUCAAAUCAAAUAAACUUAGUUUCACUUGUUAAAUUACUACCUUCCUAAUGCUUACUCAUUUCCUAAGAUCUUCCUUUGCCCUGUUGGCUUGGUCUUGUAUACGUAUUCCUUUUUCAAAAAGAACAACAAAAAUGUAAACUUGCACAAUUCAUUAACUUUAAAAAAUGUAUUCUUAUCUUCAUCUAUUUUUUAUUAGAGUUGUAACUAAGUUAAAAUUGUUGCAUAUUCACUUCUCAUUUUUAGCUUCCUGUAGUCAAAAAAAGUACUACCUGCCCCUUUCUAUCCCUAUCCUUUCUAUCCCAGAGAGUCUAAGAAACUGCCAGAUAUAGGUGAAUGGGUGUUCAGGAAA